rnacentral:lncRNA from 1 species
AAGUUAAAUAAUUUUUGUUAAAAUAUAUAAUGAUGUUAAAUUAAUUAAUAUUUCUUUUGGAAAGACAUGUCCAUUUAAAAUGUAACUGUUCAUUUCAAACAGUUAUUUUUAAAGUAGAGGUAUAUAUAGAAUCACGAUCCCAAGAACACAAAAGAACUCAAACUCGAACUCGUUUAUUAAUCUCACAAUGCUUAAGAAAACUCUCUCAAAAACUUAAGCUCACAACUCACACAUUAUGCUACACAUUAGCAUCUCCUUAUAUAUAACUCAUAAUUUCCUAAACUCAUUAGGUAAAACACAAAUAGAUAAUUU